rnacentral:rRNA from 1 species
CAAGGAAUUUUCGUCAAUGGGGGCAACCCUGAACGAGCAACGCCGCGUGGGCGAAGAAGUCCUUCGGGAUGUAAAGCCCUUUUCCCUGGGAAGAAAUAAAGACGGUACCAGGGGAAUAAGCAUCGGCUAACUACGUGCCAGCAGCCGCGGUAAUACGUAGGAUGCAAGCGUUGUCCGGAAUUAUUGGGCGUAAAGAGCGCGCAGGCGGUCACUCAAGUCAGAUGUGAAAUAGCCGGGCUUAACCCGGAGGGGUCAUUUGAAACUGGGCGACUAGAGUACAGCAGAGGAUAGCGGAAUUCCCGGUGUAGUGGUGAAAUGCGUAGAUAUCGGGAGGAACACCAGUGGCGAAGGCGGCUAUCUGGGCUGAAACUGACGCUGAGGCGCGAAGGCUAGGGGAGCAAACAGGAUUAGAUACCCGCGUAGUCC